GUCUAUGGCCAUACCACACUGGACGCACCCGAUCUCAUCUGAUCUCAGAAGCUAAGCAGGGCUGGGCCUGGUUAGUAGUUGGAUGGGAGAAUCACUAUCAUAAAUA
rnacentral:rRNA from 1 species